rnacentral:misc_RNA from 1 species
GGGCAAUCCUCAAACUCAAUCUACUAAUACUAAGAGAAGGUAUAUCGAAAAUCGGUUCGUCGACAUGAUGAACACAAAACAGAAAGGUGGAGGGAGGGGGAGGGGAGAAAAAACUCAGAUAAAACUGAGAAAAUAGCAAGUCCCAUGUCAUGAAGCUUUAAAAUCAAUCAAGAGAAUGGGAAGCAAACAAAAGAAUACACAACUCUAACGACGCGGCUACAAAAUGUUUGGGAGCUGAGCAUCCAGUCUCUGUUGCAGUUCCUUGACCUUGAUUGAAAGCUCGACGGUUUGCUCCUUGUAGUUCUUGAUCAGAUAAUCCUUCCCUUCGAUCACUUCUUUCAACUCAUCUUUUUCGCGCUUCAGCAUUUCAAACCUUUCUCCAUCUCCUCUUCCCUUCUCUGAAGUAUCUGAAUUCCUAUCAACUUCAAGGUGGCCGUUAGUAUGAUGACCAUAACGGACUUCAGCUGGCCAUACAGGUACUGUUGGGGGCUUAUCG